CACGUAGGGGGCAAGCGUUGUCCGGAUUUAUUGGGCGUAAAGAGCUCGUAGGCGGUUCGGUAAGUCGGGUGUGAAACCUCCAGGCUCAACCUGGAGACGCCACCUGAUACUGCUGUGACUCGAGCCCGGUAGGGGAGCGUGGAAUUCCUGGUGUAGCGGUGAAAUGCGCAGAUAUCAGGAGGAACACCGGUGGCGAAGGCGGGUCUCUGGGCCGUAACUGACGCUGAGGAGCGAAAGCGUGGGGAGCGAACAGG
rnacentral:rRNA from 1 species